GUCUGUCAGGAGCUAUACUUCAAUGCCAUGUGCUUUCCUCUGCUCCCAGCUUUGCUGAUUACUAAUUACUCUAUCAGUGUGACAUCUCAGACCAUGGCCUUCAAAUGACUGCCAAAUCUCAGAUUUUCCAGUUCCCUAGUUCGCAGACUUUAUUCUAUGAGGCAUGCUCCACUUGGGGAACUCUGCAGCUGGGGAUCUAUGUGACAAGCUCUAAGAACACUGUGCACCAGCAAAGACAUUCUCUUGUUGACUGUCUACAUUACUUCUCUAGGAGGGUCUCCCCCAGUCAUCACCAUUGCUGGUUCCAUUUCAUCUACUAAUAUCCCAUCACCAAUCAGUCUGACUGGGAAACAGACUGUGUCUUACAAGACUUCUCCGGGGAAUGGUAUGACUCAGCAGUAGUUGCUUAAACCCAUCGUUGGGAAGAAAUUCUCCAUGGGUCUCGCAUGUUUCUAUGCAUCACGCAAGCACAAAGACUGUCUACUGUUGGUAUGGACCAUCUUUUUCUUUGCUUUUUUUUUCCACAUCAGUAAAAUGCAUUUAUUUUAAUGUGGAUUGGUAUAACUACAAAUAAGGAUAGAACAUAUUAUCAUAUUCUUCCUGGCUACGUAUAUAUAUAUAUAUAUUCUGAUUUGAAUUCCUUGUUCAGUUUCCAAGCCCAAAUGAUGAAUUCAUUUUAUUAUUGUUAUUAUCAUUAAUUAGUUAGGUAUUUUUAAAAUGAAUCUAUUAAUGUAUUUUCCAAAUAUUUUUUCAAUUGGUUCUUUUUCAUUUAUAAUUUUGUUUAUGGCAUUUCAUUUUAUUUUGACAUGAGAGAAGUGCUUGAAUUUUGCAUAAUCACAUCUAUAAAUGUUUUCCUAAUGAUUUUUUUUGGUUUUAUGCUUUAUAACAGCCUAUACUCCAAAAUUAUAUAAAUACUUACCAACUUAGCCUAGAAGUAUGUGUAUGCUUCAUUCUUAUGAAAUUAUUUGUGUAUGUAUCAUAAGGAAAUUAGAAAUACUUGGUUAUAUUUGGUAGAAAGAGUUCCAGGAAUAUCUUGCUGUUUUGCUCUUUUUCAUCAUUUCCAUUUUUCUUUCCUUUCUUCCUUUUAAAAUUUGUUUCUAUGUAGGCAAAAGCAGAAUUCAAGUUAUUUGGCUAUCUGUGACUGUUCUAAGGCUUUCUUGGACUUCCUGGACUGUCUUUUUAAAGAUGUCUGUAUAACAAGCAAUUUUGGAAGACAGAGACAGUACAUGUUGGCUUUUGGCUAUUAUAAGAGAUCUGGGUUCCCUAAACUCAGGAUUUCUCUCUAUCUGCCGCAUACAUUGGUGUUUUCUGGUCUUCUUUGAACUGCCUGUUGGAGCUGGGGUCUGGGAAAUUGACACGAAUCUGAGAUCUGACUACUGCCAGUGCUGUGACUAAGCAAGUCCUUUGUCUAUGAUCCAGUCUUGUGUUUUCUCCCAGCAUUCAUGAAACUGUGGCAAGGUAGCUUAGAUUAUUGGAUGGUAAAAAUCACACUCUAUGGUUAUUGACAGUCUUGGUGACCAAGAGGGAAUGUGAAAGAGCAAGGAUGAGGACCUUAUAGACCAAUUAAAAGAUUUUGAGGAAAUCCUCGGGAAUUAGUGUUGAACAUGUUGACCAAAUGUUAUUAUCAAUCAGGCAUUAAAUACUUCUGUAAUUUCUUGUUGCAGGCUGAGUAUUAGGAAGUAGGUUGAAGGCCAACCAUGUGAAAAAGUGCCUGGGGUGUUGCUAACUCUCCUCUGUGCAGGGCACUUUCUCAACCUGUUGAUUAGCUUCAGGUGUAUCCCACGGUGACAAUUAGUACUAAUAUUCACCCUGGGUGACAACAGCUGGACUGUUUUAUGACUUGGUCUCUCAUGCCAAACUUUAACCCAUUCAGAUUAGAGCAAAAUGUCUCAGGAUAUUUUGCAGAUUGUCCUGGCUGCUAAAUGGAGCAGUGGCUCUUUGGGGGAAAACUUCUACAGGAAUCCAUGGAUGAGGUAUUAACUAAUAUUUGAGCUCUUCCUGCCUGAGGUUGGGUUUCUAAUGCUGAUGCAGAUGACACAUUGGAGAAUGGGAAACUGACCCAGAGAACUCUACAUGUAUUCUUACUGUCAAUUCUUGGCCCUGGAAAACUUAACACUGGAACUAGGUGAAGCCAAAGGGGUGUUUUUGAUAAUGAGGCAUUAAAUACCUCAGGUUGAAGUUGUCAUUUUUUUUCAGUCACUAAGUUAUUUCUGACACUUUUCGGCCCCAUGGACUGCAGCACACCAGGCUUCUCUGUCCUUCUGUAUCUCCUGGAGUUUGCUCAAAUUCAUGUCAAUGAUUUACAUCAUUUAGUCAAUGAUGCUAUCUAACCAUCUCAUCCACUGCUUCCUCCCUCUCCUUUUGCCUUCAAUCUUUCCCAUGAUGAGUUGACUCCUUAAAAAACUUGCCACUCUAUGAGCCAAGUGUGACACCAGCCAGAAAAGAAUGAGGCCGUGAUUGCCAAAGCCAAAGUAGGCAAUACAAGCCAUGAGGAAAUUUACCUACCUUAAAUUUUUGAAUCAGCCCAAAGCAUUGCAAGUUGAUUUGUUGGAGCCAUGAGCAGCCACACCCAAUUUGAAACUAUAAAUAAAUGUAAAGCCUUACUGGCGUAGAAGGCUCUUUUCCCUUUGUACCCCUCCUUCCCUCCACCCCCUCAACUCUUACCUUGGCUGCUGAUAUUACAGAUAUUUGAAGGAACUUCCAUGCUCCCUACCAGCCAUAGACAUCUAGCACUGGAAUAGCCUCCCUAAAAACUGACUAAAAAAUUUCUAAUUCUACUUCCUUCACCUUCUCCUGGUCCAUGCACUUUAGUAAGGCAGUUUGGUCACUGAAUGCUGCUGUCCUCAGAAAGGGUUCACUUCCCCUUGGCUGCUUUCUUAGGUAAUGGUCAGGACAAAAGGGGUAGGAGAUGACAUAGACCUAUUUUGAAAAAUUGAGAUUUCUUCCUAACCAUUCUUGCACAUGUCUUUCUCUCCCCUAAUAGCAAUUCCAGGCCAGCCCGGCUGGUAUACUCUCUAGGUGGCAGUUCAGCCAAAAUGGUGCCCAAGAGGUUCCAACUUAAUUCUGAUUUUACUGUCUGGAUUCUCCAGUUAGAUGGACUUUGUCCUAGAUCAUAAAGAUAAUACCAUUUGACACUAUCACCAAACCCCCAUGCAGUGGUCCAGACAGGUUGAUGUGGGGUACAUAAAGUGUUGUAUAACUUUUAUUAAAAUGUCCAAGUCUUGCACCUUUUUUUUCUCAGUAAAAGGUCUGGGUGUGAUUAGGAGAUAACUACAAAAAAACAUGAAAUUAUCAAUAGUGGAAUUGAACACACCAAUUUUGAAGCAAUGGAGGACAGACAAGAAUAGUACCUGGGACUGGAAACACUUUAGACCCCAAGAGACACAGAAGAGAGAUGGAUCUGCAUGACCUCUGUUUUUCAGAAUCACCCUUGGAGCCUUCUUCAUGAUCGGCAACCGCCUGGUGAGUUUCUCCCAAACCAUUGCGUGUGCCUUCUAUUUUAUUGACUGUUGGAUCUGUUACCCUCUGCCUGAUGCCUCUGACCCACAAUUUGGCCCAUUUCCUCUAACUUCACUGAGAAGUCAAUCAGAAACAACAGAGGAUGUCCUCAGCUCCUGAAUCUUUCACAAAAAAAUCCUGUUAACACCUCUAGAUAUUUUCCCUACCCCCCAGUUUCAUAAUUAUGUCAUUUCCUAUGAAGACAAAUGUCACCCAGCUGGUAGUGUGGACAAGCAG
ensembl:lincRNA